rnacentral:lncRNA from 1 species
UCUUGCUUCUUUGAAAGUAAAUUUUGUUGGAAAAUUUGCUAUCUCAAAUGUUGUAGAUGUUGUUCAUAUAAGCAUGAAUAUUGGAGCUAAAAUUUGGUGCCAGUGCCAUGCUUUUGGGAAAAUUCGGCCAAAUCCAAAGGGUGAUUUUUUGGGUUCUUGUUUGACUUGUUAAAAGUGUUUUAAUGUGUUCUUUGGAACCCCUAAGUACCCUAGUUUGGUUAGAUGUUAUUUCCCUUAAGUAAGAAUGGUUUUGGAAUGUUUUUGGGAGAAAAAGGUUCAUGGAAAAAUUUGGGUUUUUCAUGGAUGUUCUUCAUUGUUCUUGAUGUUCUUGCCAAGAACAAAAAGGUUUGGUGUUUUGAUUCAAAGUUUUGAUUUAUUUCAUAAAGUAUAUGUGAUAUGUUUUUAAAUGUUUUAUCAUGUAUUUAAAGUAUUAGAUAUUUGUAUAAAUGAGAUGAUUGAAAUAAUUGUGAUUGAAUUAUUUCAUAAACAUAUCCUUUCACAUACACUUGCAUGCUUUUGACAAAACUCACAAAUCAACACACACACCAAUGUUAUCUUCCCCUAAAACAGGCCACUCCCUCAAAGGGAGUACUUUUGGGGCUUUUAUGCAAUUACAUAAAGUUUUGAUACUUUUGU